rnacentral:rRNA from 1 species
UGGGGAAUAUUGCACAAUGGGGGGAAACCCUGAUGCAGCGACGCCGCGUGAAGGAAGAAGUAUUUCGGUAUGUAAACUUCUUUUACCAGGGACGAAGGACGUGACGGUACCUGGAGAAAAAGCCACGGCUAACUACGUGCCAGCAGCCGCGGUAAUACGUAGGUGGCAAGCGUUGUCCGGAUUUACUGGGUGUAAAGGGCGUGUAGGCGGGAGAGCAAGUCAGAAGUGAAAUCUAUGGGCUUAACCCAUAAACUGCUUUUGAAACUGUUCUUCUUGAGUAUCGGAGAGGCAGGCGGAAUUCCUAGUGUAGCGGUGAAAUGCGUAGAUAUUAGGAGGAACACCAGUGGCGAAGGCGGCCUGCUGGACGACAACUGACGCUGAGGCGCGAAAGCGUGGGGAGCAAACAGGAUUAGAUACCC